UGGGAAGUUUAAGAGCAUAUGGUGGAUGCCUUGACUCUAAAAGACGAUGAAGGACGUAGCAUGGCUGCGAUAAGCUUCGGUUAGGUGCCUAGCAACCUUUUACCCGGAGAUUUCCGAAUGGGGGAACCCAAUCAAGCAAACCUUGAUUACCAAACUUUAUUGUUUGGAGUAGACCCAGCGAAUUGAAACAUCUUAGUAGCUGGAGGAAGAGAAACCAACUGAAGAGCUUCUUAAUAUUAGGAUCGCAAGUGGUCCUAAUAUUAAGGAGUUUCUGGUAUUUCCUUAGUAGCGGCGAGCGAAACGGAAGAAGCCCAAACCUAUCUUACUUGUAAGACAGGGGUUGUAAGGUAAGAGCGUUCGCUUAUUCGUAAGCGAGUAGAGUUAUAAAAUAUUUUAUUAGUUGAAUAAUCUGGAAAGAUUAGCCCCAGAAGGUGAAAGCCCUUUAGACGAAAAUAAAAUAUCUCUUAGUUUUUAUUCUUGAGUAGCCCGGGACAUGAAUAGCUUGGGUGAAUCUGGGAGAACUAACUCCCAAGGCUAAAUACUUUUAGAGAUCGAUAGUGAACUAGUACCGUGAGGGAAAGGUGAAAAGAACCUCGGAGAGAGGAGUGAAAUAGACCUGAAACCAUAUGUUUACAAGGAGUCGAAGAGGAAUUUAUUCCUCGACGGCGUGCCUAUUGAAGAAUGAGCCAACGAGUUUGCAUAUACUGCUCGGCUAAAUCCUUUUAGGAUGGAGCCAUAGGGAAACCAAGUGUUAAUAGCGCGAUUGUAGUAUAUGUAAGACCCGAAACCAGGUGAGCUUGCCAUGAGCAGGGUGAACCUCGUCGAAAGACGGGAGGAGGCCCGAACCGUUGAGCCGUGCAAUACUCUCGGAUGACUUGUGGUAAGGAGUGAAAAGCUAAUCGAACCUGGAAAUAGCUGGUUCUCUCCGAAAUAGCUUUAGGGUUAGCGCAGAGUUUACCUUUUGGGGGUAGAGCACUGGAUGGUCUGAAUAGGGGGAAACCUCGUCAAACCAAUCAAACUCCGAAUACCAAAAGUAACUGCUCUGCAGUUAGACCACGGGGGCAAAGCUCCGUCGGUCGAAAGGGAAACAGCCCAGAUCUCAAUCUAAGGUCCCUAAAUUCAUACUAAGUGCACUUAAGGUGGUGAAAUUUCUCAGACAGUGAGGAAGUUGGCUUAGAAGCAGCCAUCCUUUAAAGAAAGCGUAACAGCUCACUCAUUAAGAGAUCUUGCGCCGCAGAUAAUCGGGGCUAAGUAUGGUACCGAAGGUGAGGAUGUAUAUAUUUUUCGAAAUUUAUGCGUGGUAGGAGAGUAUUCCUGUCUGCGUUGAAGCCAAAGGGGUAACCCAUGGUGGAGCGUCAGGAAGUAAGAAUGUUGGCACAAGUAACCGCAAUGCGGGUGAGAUUCCCGCACGCCGAAAAGACUAAGGUUUCCUUGGCAAUGAUAAUCAGCCAAGGGUUAGUCGGGCCUAAGCGUAUGGCGAAAGCCGGACGCGAUGGACAGACGGUUAAUAUUCCGUCACUUGAUAUAAAUGCGAUGGGAGGACGGAGUGCAGUAUGCUUAGCGUAUUAUUGGAUUUACGUUCAUUACAUAGGGGUAGGUUUUUGGAAAAUCCGGGACCUGGCUUAGAUGCCGAUAUCCGAGUGUUGUGAAGAUUUCAGAUCUUCGGGUCUGGAGAAUUGGGCAAAGCGCGCUUCCUAGAAAAGUCUCUAAGCUUAAUUUAUAUUAAUCCGUACCGAAAACCGACACAGGUAGUCAGGUCGAGAAGACCAAGGCGAAUGAGUGAUUCUUUCUCAAGGAACUCGGCAAAAAAGCAGCCGUAAGUUAGCAAUAAGGCUUGCCUACCCCUUCGGGGGAGGCCGCAGCGAAAGUAUCCCUGGCGACUGUUUAUUAAAAACACAGCUCCCUGCGAACUCGUAAGAGGAUGUAUAGGGGGUGACGCCUGACCAAUGCCCGAAGGUCAAGUACGGAGGGUCCUAACUUUGUUAGGGCUAGACUGUAUAAGCCCGGGUGAAUGUCGGCCGUAACUAUAACGGUCCUAAGGUAGCGAAAUUCCUUGUCUGGUAAGUUCAGACGUGCACGAAUGGCGUAACGACUGGGGAACUGUCUCGAGAAAGAGCUCGGUGAAAAUGCAAUACCGGUGAAGACGCCGGUUACCUGCAGCUAGACGAAAAGACCCCGGGAGCUUUACUAUAGCUUGAUAUUGGGGCUAUUUUUCAAAUGCGUAGCAUAGAUGGGAGACUUUGAUGUUUUGGUUUUGGCUAAAACGGAGUCGUCAGUGAAAUACCAUUCUUUUGCGAAAUAGUUUCUAACCCAAAUGGUAAAAACAUUUUGGAACAGUAUCUGGUAGGUAGUUUGAGUGGGGCGCUCUCCUCCCAAAAAGUAACGGAGGAGUUUAUUAAGGUUCUCUAGGCGCGAAUGGAAACCGUGCCGAUAGUGUAAUGGCAAAAGAGAGCUUGACUGCAAGGGGGGUAUCCCGAGCAGGUGCGAAAGCAGAACAUAGUGAACCUGCGGUCCGUGUUAGAUGCGGCCGGAGAUCAUCAGAUAAAAGCUACCCCGGGGAUAACAGGCUGGUUCCGCCUAAGCGUCCAGAGCGACGGCGGAGUUCGGCACCUCGAUGUCGGCUCGACUUAUCCUGGAGGUGAAGAAGCUUCCAAGGGUUUGGCUGUUCGCCAAUUAAAAAGUCACGCGAGCUGGGUUAAGACCGUCGUAAGACAGGUCGGUCUCCUAUCUGCUGCAGGCGUUGAUUCUUGAGAAGAUCUGCUUCUAGUACGAGAGGACCGAAGUGGACUGACCUCUGGUCUACCUGCUGUCGUGCCAACGGCAUCGCAGGGUAGCUAAGUCGGGAAUGGAUAACCUCUGAAAGCAUCUAAGAGGGAAGCCAACUUCAAGAUUAGGAAUCGUUGAGACCCCUAGAAGAUUACUAGGUUGAUAGGCUCUAGGUGUAAGCAUGGAGACAUGUUUAGCCGAGGAGUACUAAUUUGUCGAUCCUAUUAGAAAG
rnacentral:rRNA from 1 species